rnacentral:lncRNA from 1 species
UUACAUAGAAAUUUCUAUGCAUUACCUCUUUAUAUAAUGCAAUUUUUUCCACUUAUGCCACCUCUAUUUCCAUUUUAUCCUUCUAAAUAAAAUAAUACUCCCUCCAUCUGCCAAAAGUGGGGCACAAUUACAAUAUCGGGCGUUCGCAAAGAGUGUAAUAGUUUUCUUUUAAAGAAAUGGUUCCACCACCAAUUUAAUCUUUUAUCCUUACAAACACUCUUUAUUUACAAAAAAAUCCACCACAAAUUCAAUCUCAACCACAUAUCUCAUAAAGUGGUGGGACCCUUCUCAACUACAUCAAAAUCAUGACAAAUUUUAUUAUAUUUGGAUUGGGUGCAGCUAAGAGGAUUCUUGGAAUGGAUAUAAGGAGAAACAGAGCUGCUGGGGUUAUUUGGCUUGGGCAGGAAAUUAUAUUCAUAAGGUUUUAAGGAAGUUCAACUUACAUGAAGCUAAGGUUUUGUCUGUUCCUUUAGCUCAGAAUGAUAAGUUGUCUGAUAAACAAUAGCCCUCAAAGUUUGAAUGAGCAGAGAGAUAUGAUGGAUGUUCCAUAUUCAAACUUAGUUGGGAGCUUGAUGUACACAAUGGUGUGUACUCGCCUAUAUAGCACAUGUUAUUAGUGUUACUAGUAGAUAUAUGUCAAAGCCUGGAAGAGAUCACUGGGAAGCACUUAAGAAGGUGUUAAGGUAUCUCAAGGGCAGUGAAAUAGAUGAAUUCUAUUUCAAAGGAGUUCAGGAAGUUCAGAUUCUGUUUGGAAGGUUUUUGUGACUCUGAUUAUGCGCAAAUUCAGAUAAUAGAAGAUCUCAGUCUGGGUAUGUUUCACUCUAUUUGGUUCAGCUUAAGCUGGAAGUCCUCUCUUCAACAUGUUGUAGCACUCUCUACAACAGAAGCUGAGUACAUGGCCAUUACUGAGGCAGUUAAGGAGGCUAUUUGGCUUAAAGGUUUUGUCAGAUUUUGAUAUAAAUCAAGAUUGUGUAGAUAUUAAAUGUGAUAGUCAGAGUGCUCUUUGUUUGGUGAAACACCAGACAUUCCAUGAAAGAUCCAAACAUAUCGAUGUCAGGUUGCACUUUGUGAGGGAUAUCAUUGAAAAGGGAGUUGUUCGAAUGAAGAAAGUGUCUACAGAUAACAAUGCUGCUGAUAUGCUAACUAAGGCUAUUUCUGUCUCUAAGUUUGUUUACUGCAUGAGUCUUAUCAAGCUGGUUUCACAAGCUUGAUGGUUGUUUUGGGAAAUUUUGUAGUUAUCUGUGUUUGUGAUGGUGCUGGUGAUCAAAGUUUGCUUUCGGAGGUAUGUCUUUGAGCUUGGUUAUUCAUUGGUGUGGAUUGAAGACUUUGAGAAUAAGGUGGAGAAUUAUUAUUUGUUUAUUCUCAAAGUCGUGCUUCUCUUUUAAUUGGAGGAAACGCGUUGCUGCGGAAGGGUUGAUGUGCAAAGUUCAGAAACACGGAGGGACUUAUCUGCAAUACUUAUUAGUUGCUGGGUUUUAAUCUCGUCCGUUGAUUUUGAUGAACGGCUCUGAUCAGAUCAGACUGAAGUUGGUUUUAACUAACUUCAUCGUCUUCAUUCUGCAAGUGAAAGGAGUUGCAGAAUCUUGAGCGCAGCUGAGAGUGUUUCUUUCUGUUUUGGGGUGUGUGAUUUCUGUACGGGUUGUAGUCUAGAUCUCUGGGUUCUCUCUUCAAAGUUUGUGAGAGGUUUUAUUGAGUGUUGAUUACUUUGGUGUACUGAAAUUUAUCCUUUGAUAGUGAAUAAAGUCGAGCUCGAUUUCUUGGCCCGUGGAUGUAGGGAUUUAUCCCGAACCACGUAAAUAGCUGUGUUCGUGUGUAUUUUGUUUGAGUUCUUAGUUGAUUUCACAACACGUCCGAUUAACAUUACCAACGGCGGUGGCCUUGCCGCUAAUUAGCGACGGCCUCUACCGUCGGUAUUUCUCCGGCAAUUCUCCGCCGUUCAAUGGCGAAAAGAUAAGAGGUUCUAAUUAAACUUAUCUUAAUUAAUUAUUUAUUUUUCUACUUUAUUACCUACACACUUAAAACAUUAAUCUCCAACUCCUUAAUUCCCGUGCUGAAAAGAAGUGACUCAAAAUUCGUGGGACGAAGGGAGUAUUAUUUAAUGAUACAUAAAGUGAUCACAAAUGUUUAGUAAUUAUCCAAUAAACGUAACUAAAAUAUUAAUAUUGAUAAUAUUUAUAAUUAUACAUGGACUUUUAAAAUAUUUAUUUUUCUUUUAUGAACAUUUAGCUAGCAUGUGUAAGAGAAAUUUUGAACAUUUAAUAUUAAUUAAAUCACUAUAAUUGUGUAACAAUUAUAAUCCCAUCAAAAUGGUUUUAACAUAAUCAUAGCGUUAUAAUUUAUUGUAUUAUUUCAUUUUUACUUCUUAAAUAUUUACACACACACAUACAUAAUAUGACCACAUUCUUUUUGAAUGGUAUAUAAUAACAUAUUAAUUUUCGUCUAAAAUGAUAUGUUCAGUAAAUAUAAAUAAAUAUUCAGGAAACAUAAAUAAAAAAUUACUAAAAUAUUGAUAUUGACAAAAUUUAUGAUUAUACAUGGACUUAUAACAUAUUUAUUAAUUUAUUCUUUCUUGAACAUUUAUUCAACAUAUUUAAAAUAUAUAUAAAAAUAUGAUACCUUUAUAAAUCGGUUACAUAGAAAUUUCUAUGCAUUACCUCUUUGUAAUGCAAUUUUUUCCAAUUAAAAGACAAGAAAAUUGAACAUUCUUCUUUUUCCCGUUUCACAUGAUACUUCAACUUGUAUUUGCUUUUUAUCAUUCUAAAUAAAAUAAUACUAUACUCCAUUCGUCUCACAAAAACAUGAAUAUUUUGCCAUUUUGAGGCGUCUCACAAAAACAUGAACAUUUCUAUUUUUAUACACUACCCCACCACAAUUCCUUUACUUUUAAUUAUGUAUAGUUUUUAUAAAGUGGGCCUUUUUUUCCACUCAUAAUAUAAUUUUAUCUAAUAUUUCUUAAAAUUCGUGUCACUUACAAAUGUUCAUAUUUUUGUGGGACGGAUGAAGUAAUAAUUAAAGUAUAAGUUUAUCACAUUUUAUGUUUGAAUGCAGUGAAACCCUUUUCCAACGGUGCCUCUGCUACAGCUAAUAUUUGGAGCAAUGAGGACAAAACUCAGCAGAUGUAGUGGAUACUGUUCAUCCGUUACGUGACUUUUAUUUUCUCUCUCUCUUAUUUCUUCCUUGUAUUUUAUGAUUUAUCAAAAAUAUUUAAAUAUGAUUGAGCAUAAAUAUAUAGGAUACUAUAAUAAUUAAAUGACAUAAUUAUUUAAUGAUAGAAAGCAUAAAAAUAGAAUAUUCUAUUGAGUUCAAUGUAGAAUUGAUUGUAAGUCUUUGUGCUUUAUAAAUUAGUUACAUGAGACAAGAAGAUUGUACAUUCUUCCUUUUCCCGUUUUCACACAACACUUCAACGUGUGGAAAAAAAUUUAUAAAACAAUAUAUCUAUCUUUGGUCAUCGUUAAUCACCACAAAAUCUUCCUCUCCAAAUAAGCCGAGAGUUGGGAGAAAGAUAAUUACAUAUUUAGAAGUUGACAUUGAUGAAAUUCUAAAAAUAGAGAUAAAUGAGAAAGAAUAUUUUUUUUAACACUUAAAGUAUCAAAAUGAUAUUAUUUUGAUGUUUAAGUUGAAAAAAAAAAAGUUUUAAGAAAUAGUUCAUGUUAGACUCUGAUGAGAUGAGUAUCUCUUCGUCACCAAAUAUUUUAUAUAAAAAAAGAUAAAUAUUUAAAGAAUUUUUAAGAGAAAACAAAAUUUAGAGACACAAAACACUUAUAAUACUUAUUUUUAUAUAUAAAAAGUGAUUGUUAACCGAACUAUACUUGUACUCAUUAAAUUUAUAACUUUAAUAGUUAUAUAUUUAUGCUUACAAAGUUUAUCUAUUGGUGCUAUGGUUAAAGUAUCAUUUUGACUUUAAAGGUGUGAAGAAUAAUCAUGCAUGCUUCAAUCCAUAUACCGCGAUAUGAAAAUGUAAACACUAGACACAAAUUACUGAUCUUCACCAGCAAAUGGUGUAAGCUACAAAUA